UACAGAGGUCUCAAGCGUUGUUCGGAUUCAUUGGGCGUAAAGGGUGUGUAGGUGGCGCCGUAAGUCGGGUGUGAAAUUUCGGAGCUUAACUCCGAAACUGCAUUCGAUACUGCGGUGCUUGAGGACUGGAGAGGAGACUGGAAUUCAUGGUGUAGCAGUGAAAUGCGUAGAGAUCAUGAGGAAGACCAGUGGCGAAGGCGGAUCUCUGGGCCUUACCUGACGCUGAGGCGCGAAAGCUAGGGGAGCGAACAGG
rnacentral:rRNA from 1 species